UACGGGAGGCAGCAGUGGGGAAUAUUGCACAAUGGGCGCAAGCCUGAUGCAGCCAUGCCGCGUGUAUGAAGAAGGCCUUCGGGUUGUAAAGUACUUUCAGCGGGGAGGAAGGCGAUGCGGUUAAUAACCGCGUCGAUUGACGUUACCCGCAGAAGAAGCACCGGCUAACUCCGUGCCAGCAGCCGCGGUAAUACGGAGGGUGCAAGCGUUAAUCGGAAUUACUGGGCGUAAAGCGCACGCAGGCGGUCUGUUAAGUCAGAUGUGAAAUCCCCGGGCUUAACCUGGGAACUGCAUUUUGAAACUGGCAGGCUUGAGUCUUGUAGAGGGGGUAGAAUUCCAGGUGUAGCGGUGAAAUGCGUAGAGAUCUGGAGGAAUACCGGUGGCGAAGGCGGCCCCUGGGACAAAGACUGACGCUCAGGGUGCGAAAGCGUGGGGAGCAAACAGGAUUAGGAUACC
rnacentral:rRNA from 1 species